CGAAGGGGGCUAGCGUUGUUCGGCAUUACUGGGCGUAAAGGGCGCGUAGGCGGUGUGUCAAGUCAGGCGUGAAAGCCCCGGGCUCAACCUGGGAACCGCGCUUGAGACUGGCACGCUCGAGUUCGGGAGAGGAUGGUGGAAUUCCCAGUGUAGAGGUGAAAUUCGUAGAUAUUGGGAAGAACACCGAUGGCGAAGGCAGCCAUCUGGACCGACACUGACGCUGAGGCGCGAAAGCGUGGGGAGCAAACAGG
rnacentral:rRNA from 1 species